UUUUCAACAUAAACUUCUCUUAAAGAAGAGAUUUGAGCUCUACCAGUGCUGGUCUAGGCUUUUACCAGCUCAUUAUUCGUUAUUAAAUGCACAAACCCAAAGCAAACUCAACAGUACUGACAAAAUGCUGUCUUGUUUCCCUGACUAAUGUAGAACUUAAAGGAGAGAACUUCAUACUGAUUUUCAACCAGUUACAAAAACACAUAUCCUGAGAUUUUCCUGUGUUUUGGUUUGAAAUAAUUUAGAAAUCUGUGAAUAAUUCCCUCUUCCCCUUGUGAACUUCUGCUGGUUCUUUCAGCAUUUAAUUGAAGGUUUCAGAAGCCUUGGUUGCCUUUCAAUGCCUGCUAGAUAAAACUGAAAGGAAAAUGUGGCCUCUUGUUUCUUCCACGAAAGACUAAGUGUGCACCUCAGGGAGGAACAGAAAGCCCCUUUCUUUUCAACUCCUUUCGUGCGCACAUUUGACUUUGAUUUGGAGGAGUUUUAAUCUCCCUUUCUGAACCAUAACCUGACCCUGCCUUUUGGGAGCUGGGAAAUAUUUAGGGUCCCAGGAACAGAAAUAAGCAUUCUACUUCGUAGCCUCUGCCUCACUGUAAGGUGAGGCCUUGCUCAAGCCUCCCUCUGGGCCUCGACCUGCAGAGUCUUAGGCUGAAUUUAGCUAGGCUUGCCUAUUUAAGGACUUACAGAUAUGAGUCUCUUGUUCUUGGAAUGAAAUAUGCUGCAGGAGGAAUAAUGGAGAGGUGAUUUACUCCUGCUCUUGUUUACGUUCAUGCACCAUGGAGCUGAGGCUGUGCAGGGAGGACAGCAGGACCGUGCUGAGGCUCCGGUCCACAUGCGACCUCCAAAAGUGUGCAGCAACAUAACAAAUGGGCAGUAGAGCUCAGAGCUUUCCAGAUCUAACACAUGCUAAUAAAUUUACAUCUCUGAGUGGCGAGGACGUGAUUGCUGUCUCUGAGACGAGGCUUCCUCCAUGUUCCGUGCGAGCAGCUCACUCUUUACCCAGACACUUCAGUUUUUCUAACUGGCUGUUCAUUGUGGACUCUGAGUUACUACAUGACCUGAAGAACAGUGUGAGGACAUCAGAAGGAGAAAUGUGUUAAAAUCUGGAAAACGGUGUUGUUCAGUUCAGACAUGGACAUCAUUCUGCCUCUCUGUGUUAGUUCCUUGCAGAGAAAAUAUAUCUAAAUAUAAAUAUACCCUUUUAAAAAAUUACUACUCCUCCUUCCCAAUACCUUCUUUUAAAGGAUUCUGUGUCUUAAUAAACUA
ensembl:lncRNA